rnacentral:misc_RNA from 1 species
AACCAUAGAAACCUGCGGAGUACCUGCGGAGGGAUCAUCAUCGAAUUCAUAUCCCCCUCCUCAACCGGAGGGGGACCCAUGAUAAACCCUUCUGUGCACCGUAAACCGUUCACUUUGGCAGGCUUUGGUGGUGAGCGUGAGCUCGCCCCCAACCUCGCGUUCACUCCCUAAGGGGUGUUACGUGUGGCGGCCUGCCGGAGUCCCAUUAAAAAACUCGUUUUCGAACACGUCUGAAAAUUU